UUAAAGACCGGUUAUAAACCCAAAAAUCGAAAACUGUCAGAUCAAAUAUUAGCAACUACACCUUAUUAGACUCAUAAUCAGAGGGUCGCUGGUUCGAGCCCAGCAGGGUCCA
rnacentral:tRNA from 1 species